UUGUUGCGGUUAAAACGCUCGUAGUUGGAUAUCUGUCAGCGCACGGUGCUCCGCCCAAGCGGUGUGUAGUCAUUAGUGUGCUGGCAUCAUCCUGGGGAGUGCAUCUGCACUUCACUGUGUGGGGUACGAGCCAGGACAUUUACUUUGAGGAAAUGAGAGUGUUUCAAGCAGGCGUCCGCCAUGAAUACGUUAGCAUGGAAUAAUAGUAUCGGACCUCGUCCCAAGGCUGUUGGUUUCUUGGGUCGAGGUUAAAAGGUUGGAAAUAAAGGGGAAUUUUGUUUGGGGGGCCAUUUCGUAUUUAACUGUCAGAGGUGAAAUUCUUGGAUUUGUUGAAGACGCACUACUGCGAAAAGCAUCUGCCAAAGAUGUUCUCAUUGAUCAAGAACGAAAGUUAGGUGAUCGAAGACGAUCAGAUACCGUCCUAGUCUUAACCAUAAACUU
rnacentral:rRNA from 1 species